UUCGGCUAUGUUUUCCUUACCAGA
rnacentral:siRNA from 1 species